rnacentral:tRNA from 1 species
AGAGUAUAGCUCAGUGGCAGAGCACAUGCUUAGCAUGCACAAGGUCCUGGGUUCAAUCCCCAGUACCUCUG